CAGGCUUAACACAUGCAAGUCGAGGGGUAUAUUUCUUCGGAGAUAGAGACCGGCGCACGGGUGCGUAACGCGUAUGCAAUCUACCUUUUACAGAGGGAUAGCCCAGAGAAAUUUGGAUUAAUACCUCAUAGCAUAGCAGCUUCGCAUGAAGCCACUAUUAAAGUCACAACGGUAAAAGAUGAGCAUGCGUCCCAUUAGCUAGUUGGUAAGGUAACGGCUUACCAAGGCUACGAUGGGUAGGGGUCCUGAGAGGGAGAUCCCCCACACUGGUACUGAGACACGGACCAGACUCCUACGGGAGGCAGCAGUGAGGAAUAUUGGACAAUGGGCGCAAGCCUGAUCCAGCCAUGCCGCGUGCAGGAUGACGGUCCUAUGGAUUGUAAACUGCUUUUAUACGAGAAGAAACACUGCUUCGUGAAGCAGCUUGACGGUAUCGUAAGAAUAAGGAUCGGCUAACUCCGUGCCAGCAGCCGCGGUAAUACGGAGGAUCCAAGCGUUAUCCGGAAUCAUUGGGUUUAAAGGGUCCGUAGGCGGUUUAAUAAGUCAGUGGUGAAAGCCCAUCGCUCAACGGUGGAACGGCCAUUGAUACUGUUAAACUUGAAUUAUUAGGAAGUAACUAGAAUAUGUAGUGUAGCGGUGAAAUGCUUAGAGAUUACAUGGAAUACCAAUUGCGAAGGCAGGUUACUACUAAUUGAUUGACGCUGAUGGACGAAAGCGUGGGUAGCGAACAGGAUUAGAUACCCUGGUAGUCCACGCCGUAAACGAUGGAUACUAGCUGUU
rnacentral:rRNA from 1 species